ACAAAGGCUCUUUUAAGAGCCAAUACAUAAACAAUAACAGCGCUG
rfam:Eurypyga helias contig90286, whole genome shotgun sequence.